rnacentral:rRNA from 1 species
UACGUAGGGUGCAAGCGUUAAUCGGAAUUACUGGGCGUAAAGCGUGCGCAGGCGGUGAUGUAAGACAGGUGUGAAAUCCCCGGGCUUAACCUGGGAACUGCAUUUGUGACUGCAUCGCUGGAGUGCGGCAGAGGGGGAUGGAAUUCCGCGUGUAGCAGUGAAAUGCGUAGAUAUCUGGAGGAACACCGGUGGCGAAGGCGACAUCCUGGACCAACACUGACGCUGAGGAGCGAAAGCCAGGGGAGCAAACGGG